AACACAUGCAAGUCGAACGGAAAGGCCCUUCGGGGUACUCGAGUGGCGAACGGGUGAGUAACACGUGGGCAACCUGCCCCUAGCUCUGGGAUAACACCGGGAAACCGGUGCUAAUACCGGAUACACACUUUUUGAGGCAUCUCAGAUGGUGGAAAGUUUUUCGGCUAGGGAUGGGCCCGCGGCCUAUCAGCUUGUUGGUGGGGUAAUGGCCUACCAAGGCGACGACGGGUAGCCGGCCUGAGAGGGCGACCGGCCACACUGGGACUGAGACACGGCCCAGACUCCUACGGGAGGCAGCAGUGGGGAAUAUUGCGCAAUGGGCGAAAGCCUGACGCAGCGACGCCGCGUGAGGGAUGACGGCCUUCGGGUUGUAAACCUCUUUCAGCUCUGACGAAGCGCAAGUGACGGUAGGAGCAGAAGAAGCACCG
rnacentral:rRNA from 1 species